rnacentral:telomerase_RNA from 1 species
AACGGGGGAGCCGAGAGUCAUGUGGUCUUGUUCGCAAGUAUCGCUGGCAGUUGACAAACCCAAACAAACCCAUUCGCUAUUUGCGAUUUCCGCGACGGUGUUUACUUCGCCCGUUGGAUCACUCCAAAAUAACAACGGGUUACUCGAGCUCUUCUCCCUU